rnacentral:lncRNA from 1 species
AAGAACUUAAAGAGGAAGCUACCCAGUCGUGCAAUGAGACAGCAGUAUGGGACACUGGCUUCCUGUGCUCCUUGUCAUGCAUCAUGAGGUAGACAAGCUGAAGGUGAAGGUCAUGACCUUCAUGAGGUUAAGGGGCAAGGGUGCAUCAUGGUGCUACGACCCUUGACUGUCCACCUGGGACUUACUCCAGAGACCUGGGGAGAGAACACAAUGUUAAAGGCUCAACAUGUGGAAAACGCCUUUCAAGUACUCCUUACCAACAGAGCCAAAUAUAUAUUAAACCUAUGUACCAUCACCUGAAAAUCCUG